rnacentral:rRNA from 1 species
UGGGGAAUAUUGGUCAAUGGGCGCAAGCCUGAUCCAGCCAUACCGCGUGGGUGAAGAAGGCCUUCGGGUUGUAAAGCCCUUUUGUUGGGAAAGAAAUCCUGUCGGUUAAUAACCGGUAGGGAUGACGGUACCCAAAGAAUAAGCACCGGCUAACUUCGUGCCAGCAGCCGCGGUAAUACGAAGGGUGCAAGCGUUACUCGGAAUUACUGGGCGUAAAGCGUGCGUAGGUGGUUUGUUAAGUCUGAUGUGAAAGCCCUGGGCUCAACCUGGGAAUUGCAUUGGAUACUGGCAGGCUAGAGUGCGGCAGAGGAUGGCGGAAUUCCCGGUGUAGCAGUGAAAUGCGUAGAGAUCGGGAGGAACAUCUGUGGCGAAGGCGGCCAUCUGGACCAGCACUGACACUGAGGCACGAAAGCGUGGGGAGCAAACA